rnacentral:rRNA from 1 species
GGAAUGAAGAGAUUCAUCGUCAGCGUAUUCAGUAUUAAUCCAGGUUAUGAUGUGAUGAUAGAAUCCUUGUGGUCACUAAAUUAUACUUGCUUGUAUUAUUUUUGCUGGGUAGGUCGGCGUGCACUUCUCUUCUAGUAGAACGUCGCAACCCGUUGGAUGUUUAUUUAUGGCCUAAAUGGUAGCCUCUGAUAUUUUAAAAUAUCGAAGCCCUUUGGUGUCCUGAUAAGCUGUCUGACGGUAAACAUAUAGUAUUGAGCCGCAAUUAUUUGCGUUAGACUUACCGCAAGUAAGAUUUUAGUCUAGUAGUGCAGAUCUAAUGCUGUCGCUGGGCAAAGUCUACUGUUAGCUGUGUAAUGUC